rnacentral:misc_RNA from 1 species
GCCAUAUCUUGUAAGCCUAUUGACUCAUAAUCAUAAAAAGAUUAUUAAGAAAGAAGCUUGCUGGACCAUCUCAAAUAUUACAGCUGGAAACAGCGAACAAAUUCAGGCUGUAAUUGAGGCUGGUUUAAUUGGCCCCCUGGUUAAUUUGGUUCAAAAUGCUGAGUUUGAUAUAAAGAAAGAAGCUGCAUGGGCAAUUUCAAAUGCUACUUCUGGUGGUACUCAUGACCAAAUCAAGUACUUGGUGAGUCAAGGGUGCAUAAAACCAUUGUGUGAUCUCCUUGUCUGUCCUGAUCCAAGGAUUGUCACUGUAUGUCUUGAAGGGUUAGAGAACAUUCUGAAGGUUGGGGAAGCUGAAAAGAAUUUGGGGAG